rnacentral:rRNA from 1 species
AUGCAAGUCGAACGGAAAGGCCCUUCGGGGUACUCGAGUGGCGAACGGGUGAGUAACACGUGGGUGAUCUGCCCUGCACUUUGGGAUAAGCCUGGGAAACUGGGUCUAAUACCGAAUAUGACCGCGCACUUCCUGGUGUGUGGUGGAAAGCUUUUGCGGUGUGGGAUGGGCCCGCGGCCUAUCAGCUUGUUGGUGGGGUAAUGGCCUACCAAGGCGACGACGGGUAGCCGGCCUGAGAGGGUGACCGGCCACACUGGGACUGAGAUACGGCCCAGACUCCUACGGGAGGCAGCAGUGGGGAAUAUUGCACAAUGGGCGCAAGCCUGAUGCAGCGACGCCGCGUGAGGGAUGACGGCCUUCGGGUUGUAAACCUCUUUCAAUAGGGACGAAGCGCAAGUGACGGUACCUAUAGAAGAAGGACCGGCCAACUACGUGCCAGCAGCCGCGGUAAUACGUAGGGUCCGAGCGUUGUCCGGAAUUACUGGGCGUAAAGAGCUCGUAGGUGGUUUGUCGCGUUGUUCGUGAAAACUCACAGCUUAACUGUGGGCGUGCGGGCGAUACGGGCAGACUAGAGUACUGCAGGGGAGACUGGAAUUCCUGGUGUAGCGGUGGAAUGCGCAGAUAUCAGGAGGAACACCGGUGGCGAAGGCGGGUCUCUGGGCAGUAACUGACGCUGAGGAGCGAAAGCGUGGGGAGCGAACAGGAUUAGAUACCCUGGUAGUCCACGCCGUAAACGGUGGGUACUAGGUGUGGGUUUCCUUCCUUGGGAUCCGUGCCGUAGCUAACGCAUUAAGUACCCCGCCUGGGGAGUACGGCCGCAAGGCUAAAACUCAAAGAAAUUGACGGGGGCCCGCACAAGCGGCGGAGCAUGUGGAUUAAUUCGAUGCAACGCGAAGAACCUUACCUGGGUUUGACAUGCACAGGACGCCAGUAGAGAUAUUGGUUCCCUUG